UACGGAGGGGACUAGCGUUGUUCGGAAUUACUGGGCGUAAAGGGCUCGUAGGCGGCCAGCUAAGUCAGACGUGAAAUCCCUCAGCUUAACUGGGGAACUGCGUCUGAUACUGGAUGGCUUGAAUCCGGGAGAGGGAUGCAGAAUUCCAGGUGUAGCGGUGAAAUGCGUAGAUAUCUGGAGGAAUACCGGUGGCGAAGGCGGCAUCCUGGACCGGCAUUGACGCUGAGGAGCGAAAGCUAGGGGAACAAACGGG
rnacentral:rRNA from 1 species